UGUCAGCCUUGACAGCAGAACGCAAUUACUGCGCAUGCGCGUUAAAUGUCACAUAGAAGUGUAUUGUAGAGAUUUGUCAUUGCAGCUGAGUUUAUUGUAAAGUGAAGUACAACGAAGAUUAAUUAAAAAAAUUUUGAUGCAAGAAAAUUGUGCAAAACUAAAAGAAUUAAUAGUGAAAUAAAAGGAGUAGAAUUAAGUAGUGGUUUAAUAAACUAAUAAGAUAUCAGGCAGGGUACUAAUAACACCUCAACACAAAGACAACAAAUGUUCUAAGAAAUCGUGACAUGCAAAUCCGAGGUGCGCUGAAAUGUGGCCUGUGCAAAUUGUAAAAAAAUUCAAAGUUUUGCGGAAGGAAGUUUCUGGCACCAGCUGCAACAACGAUGACUUUGAUGCGAGUGCAUUUAGUGGUUUCGGUUUGUCGUGUUGAUACAGCUGAGUCAUUUUUUCUAUUUAUUUAAAAUUUACCAACAAAAUAUUCCGUAGCUGCUUAUAUGGUUUAAGAACAAAAAAAAAAAUAAGCAAAACUUUACAAAUGCAAUAAUUACUAGCGAAAAAGUAGAUCUUCGCAAAAAAAAACUAAUUUGCUUUUUGUUCUUUAUGCAUCUGUAUCUACCAACUCAGAAACGAUUCUACAAAACAAGCCAACGAAAAUAAUGGCAAAUUAGUAAAUGAUUCAACUAAUAACAAAAACUACAAUAAUUGCUGUUCUACUAGCUGCUGACCUCUGUGUUGGCUAAGGAGUUUCUUGAACCCACAGCGGCACGCGCAUCAUACCCAAGUUUAACUAAUAGACCAAACGAAAAAACCAAAACGAAUGCGCUUGCAUAUUCAAAAUUAACUAAAUUAUGUGUUUUUGUUUUAAGUAUUGAUGAGCUAGUCGAUGUUUAUACAUACAUAUGUAUAUUCACAACAUUUUUUGUUGGUAUUGAUUGGAUUUGCAUAACUUGAUUAUAGAGUGACAAAGACAGACUAAGUGCAUACAUGGUCAAUUUUAUAAGACACUACCUAAUAUCCGGCAACGCUUUAUACUGCCAAUCUUGUCAAUAACAUUCAAGCUUACGCUGACGAAAUUUGUGUGGCAGCGUUAGAAAACUCUAUUGGGGCGUUUUGUGUAGAAAACAAGGAUAAGUUUAAGGCGCGGUGCAACUACGAAGGACUUUGACUCAAUCCAAGUAUGUAAACGUAUUGUUUAAGCGGCAUAUAAACUGUUUAGAUCUCAAUCUAUCUCAGCUCAUAGGCGUAUUUCUAGGGGUGCGUGCGUACACACAGAAAGCCGAGCUGCGGUGUUCACACCGAAUGAGAGAGAGCGGAGCUCUUCCCAAUGACUAGGAUGCAAAGAUAUUUUAAAACUUUCCUGUAACGAAAAGCGGCAAAAAUAUUUUGAGAUUUGCUUCAUUGCUUUCCCGGAAAAUACCUACAUUGUUAUUCAUGAAGCUGAAAAAUCAAAUAGACAGUCCAAAAAUCAAUAACCGCUUUGCUUUCAAGUUCAAAGCUUCUGGAAAAGCUUGCUGUACGAACACGUUCAUAUUUGUAUGUAGCCUCAGCAAUUUAAAAGCUGCACUCCUCUCGGGCCGGUUUCGAUCGGCAGCGCUAUGCUUUCUGUGUGUGCGUUCGAUAAGGCUUUCUGUAGACUAAACCAAAUAUUUACUCAAAGUUUUCGGGCAGUAUCGUAGAACAUUUUGCAAAGUCUCUGCUAGAAAAUAAUGCAGAGAUUCUUACACUGCCUUAUCCUGAGUUUCGCCUGAAAAAAAAUUCACCCGAAAAUUUGUCAUCCGCCCAUAGUAAAACCGUGGAAACCGAGAGUGAAAAGUGAACCGGUUCGGGGAAAAUGAAACUCAUGAUAAGGCUGAUUGUUUUAUCUAGCAGACAUAGCCAACAAUUUCUUCGGGAGGUGGACAAAAGCCGAAAACCAGAAUCUAUGGCUCAUACAAUGGGAUCAGAACCAAUUUUUAGUCGAGGUGUUGCAAAAACAGAGGUAGAGGAAGGAGUCCAAUUGGCGUCAGUUGGCACAGAAGAGAAAUGACUGGCGUUCUGUUUUGGACUCGACCAAAAUCGUUUAGGCGGUUACAACGCCAAUAAAGAAGAAGACGAAGUUGCAAGGAUCGGUAGGUGGAUCUAGGAUUUCUUUGCAGUUGGUACAGCGAUGUUUAUGCAGAUGCAAUCAAGACAUCAAAUUUACCUAUAUAUGGGCUAUGUGCACUUAGAAUCUGUUCUUCGUUUCGAAAGACGAAACGCUUGUGGUCUCUGAUAACGAAAAUUGUGGAUACAACGCUUCCGAAUAGGCCCGUUAUGAUACCAUAUAAACUUACCGAUUUCUAUCCAUGUUAAAAAGCUUAUUCGGGUACAAACCGCUAAGGUUGGCGCUAUGAACUUUGUCAAAGCUCUUAUUAGGACAGUCCUUAUAAGAAAGCACAUUUAAUGCCCAAUUCUGGGUUUUUUGAUAUAUAUUUGUAAAGACAUUUUAUCAAUAUUUUUUUAUGAGGAGAAGCUUUUGACUAUCGUAGUCGAGUAGUUAGAUAUGUCGACUAUUAUUCAGGGUGUCGCAUAUUCAAAUACCGCAAAAUUCAAUAACUAACUGAUAGAAAAAGUUGUUUUAUUAAUAGUAUGCCGUGAUCGGAGCCCAAUCACCACCUGUAGCAGAGACAGAAAUUCAACUGCCAAGGGAGACCCGCGUUACCCUGACUCAGCUACGGUCUGUAUACUGUAGCCGCCUCAACAGCUACUUGUGCAAACCCGAUCCCAACAUCCCCAAUGAGUGUUCGGCAUGUGGAUACUGUCCGCACGACACCAACCACCUCCUAACAUGCCAGCUGAAUCCCAUUCAACUAACAUCCCUCUCCCUUUGGUCCGACCCUAUUGAAACAGCCCGUUUCAUGGGCCUACCGUUUGUUGAGCUUGACGACAAUGAUUGAAGGAUGAACCGAAAUAGGCGGGACUUAGUAGUGCCGCUACAACAACGACAACGGGUUGAGGCGGGUUUAUAACUCUUGCUCCUAAAAACUUGGCAUUUGAAAGUAAAAGUGGUAUCAUCUAGUUCGAGAGUAUGAGAGGCGGCAUUUUGUAUCGCCUAGGAGACUCAGAAACAGAACAGCUAAAAAUAUUUCUCUCAACACAUUUCGAAAAACAACUGUAUACUGAACAUUAGGAGGUAAUAAAAACAAAUGUAAGCUUGCCAAAAAACUGUAAUUUACAGCUAAAACUGUGAAUCUGGCAACAUUGUUUAUACUAGUAGGGGUGGUAAUAGGAACGACAUUUGAGAGAAAUUCUGAGCUGCAUCUCUUCUCUGCAAAAGAAAACAAGACAAAGAGAACUGAUAAGAGCUAACACAGUAAACCACAAUUAACAUCCAUCAUUUUCCUUCCUCAUGGCAAUUAAAAAUUAAUUUCAAAUUAUGUACGCAAUUAACAAAUAAACAAAUAGCAAUUAGCGGACUCACCACAAUGGCAGAAGCACUUCAAAACAAUGGAAGUUGGUCAAGCGCCGCGAUCUGUCUUCCCACAAUCAAGCCAACAACAAAAACAAAAGAAAAGCCAACAAUUUGACUGACGGAACAAAUUAUGCCAGAAGUAAAGCAAAGACAAUGGCAAAAUACCAGCUUAAACGGCAAAACAAAAGACCAGAAAACGAAACCGUAACUGAGUAAUUAAAUAAAUCAGCUCGCGAAGAAAAAGGCGGCGCAAACUUAAAUGCUUAUCCAAGCUCGCUCGUAAAUAAGUAAGCAAUGAAAGGAAAACCUGCUGAAGAUAGAAAGGGAAAUGGCAUACAAAACAAUCAACCUUUAAGGUCUAGCUAGGGAGACACCGCAGGCGCCGCAGCUUGCUGGCUGGCACUACGAUUUUGGCGCGCAAAGCCGAAGCGGUUAAUAACAAAGAUCAGCUGUGCUCGGCAGUGUGGCAAAGAAAAACAGAAAGCAAUUGGAAGUAGCAAAAAUCAAAGAAGACCGAAUAGCAGCAACGAUCAGCUGUAAACCGCAAGCGUGGCUGAGAUUGAAACUGAAGUAGUAAAGUAAACAGCGGUGAAGUGUACAAACAAAGUCAAGCCAAGCAGAGGGCGAGAGCAGAGUGCGGCGGUCUGCGAGACAGAAGUCAAAUGGAAGCGAAAUACAACAGCCGGGUGACGUCACAAUCCGGCUUUAAUUGGAGCGGCGCGGCGCGGCGCUGUGUCGCUCUGCGCUAAUAGCCACUGUCAGCUUAAGCUGGAGUUUGGCUUGCCCACUACCGCCGCCGCCGCCGCCGCCGCCGCCGCCGCUUCACCUGAGCAGCUGAGCUAAGCUUUGACCAACACAACAGCUGCACAGAGUGGUCGUCGGGCAGCUAAGCUUUUUUUGCUUUGUAUUUUUUUUGGUUUAGUUUGUUGAUUCUUGGGGCUGCCUUUUUACCGAUCCCCGUCUCUGCUGGUGCUUUUGUUGUUUUUGUUGCGUCGAGAAAAAUUGAAAGCCACACAAAAGUGAGCUGCACGCUGCCAGUCGAACGGAGAAGUCUAGUGACGCUCGAUGCGAUUUAGUGAACACAAAAGUUUCUUACGCUCAGCAGAGCGGACGUGUAGCGCGGAAAGUCAAACGGUUUGCAUAAAAUACAAGCUCCUUCGGUCGCAACGAAGUCAGUGUAUGUAGUUCGAAAAAGUCUGCGAAGUAAAAAUCCACAACCACCCCACCUGGACACAAACACUGACACACACACUCACCCAUCGCCAGAAGCACGCACAUGGUCGAACAGUUCUUUUUCGAUACUGACUUCGAAUUGACUUUGGUUUUUGGUUUUUCUUCUGCAUUUGUGCCAGUCACAUUUUCGAAACUCCUUGCGAAAUUUUGAACAAACUUGGCGUGCAGGCGUGAACAAGAAAAAAUAGUUGAGAUUCUAUUUUUCCGGUUAUUUGUGUUUUGUGUUAAUAUUUUCUGGUUUUUUGAAAAAUUUCGGUGAGUGAUAUGAAAUAUGUAUGUAAUUCAAAGAACUUACGAAACAAUUGAAAAAAACUGAAAAUCCCGAAAAGUGCAGUAUUUUAUUUGGAUAAUAUUCAUAAAAAAAAACUAAAAAAA
rnacentral:lncRNA from 1 species